GUGAACCUGCUGCUGGAUCAUUACACGUGAUUCUCACAUUCACCACCUACCCGCCUGCUAAUCCACAGUCUCUGUGCGCUCAUUUCCCUCUUCCGCCUUUGAUGGGGAGAAAAGUCCAGGCCAUUGAUUGUGGCUGACAGAUGACAGGAUUGCAUGCGCCCUGGUGGCAAGCUGAUGUGUUGUCGAUGCAGAUGGCGAACUCAUCCUUCAAACAACCCGUUUAAAGGCAAUAACAAUGCCGGAAGCGAUGAGUCCAGGCUACUAAGCUGCGCUGAAUCGAUGGCACGCUCUCGGGGCACCCAACGGCUGUGCUGGCGUCUCUGCGUCUUUGAGCAGUUGUUGUGCACUUACGAUGCCAAUAUCGCAUGUGUACUACGUCCGUGGCUGUGAUGAGAUGACGCGGUAGGGCCCUUGUCUUGCUUCUCUGACAUGCGGCUUAAGACUCAAUGAGCGCCCAAGCUAGGCGCCGCCAGCAUUUUUUUUCAAAUAAAAUUUUUAAGGCAUAAGUGCCAUAAUGAAAAGAAAUUCUAGUCUUAUCGGUGGAUCACUCGGCUCGUGGGUCGAUGAAGAACGCAGCCAACUGCGAUAAGUAGUGUGAACUGCAGAAACCUUGAACAAAGAACAUUCGAAUGCACAUUGCGCCACUGGAGUAACAUCCAUUGGCACGCCUGGUUCAGGGUCGUUAAACAAAAACGCACAGCAAGUGCGUGUGAUUCUGUGAGAUCAGUUAAUUAGCUGUUCUCGCAAUGUGAGAAGGCGCCAGAGUAGUGCGGUACUUGCCAGCAUGGAAAUAGAAGAUGAAUUCUUCCAUGUUUUACAUACAGUAACCUGGGCUUGAAUUGCACUCUCGAGGUAGCUGAUCCAAUACAAAAAUCAAUUUCUACCUGAACUCAGACGUGAAUACCCGCUGAACUUAAG
rnacentral:rRNA from 1 species